rnacentral:misc_RNA from 1 species
AAUAAACCUCGACCCCCCAAAGGCCUUCACUGUGCCGUGGUGGGUUGGACUUGGACGCUGCCUUCCCUGCUAUGAAGGCUCGUCGUGAAAUGUAUCAGCUGUUUCCUCGUACGCAGACAACGGUGUGAUAAGAAAACUCGCUAGCAUCUGUGUCACAUGGGGAUGGCUUCCAGUCGUCUUCGGACAAAACACCCUAGA